rnacentral:rRNA from 1 species
AUCCUGGCUCAGAUUGAACGCUGGCGGCAUGCCUUACACAUGCAAGUCGAACGGCAGCACGGGAGCUUGCUCCUGGUGGCGAGUGGCGAACGGGUGAGUAAUACAUCGGAACGUACCCUGAAGUGGGGAUAACGUAGCGAAAGUUACGCUAAUACCGCAUAUUCUGUGAGCAGGAAAGAGGGGGAUCGCAAGACCUCUUGCUUUAGGAGCGGCCGAUGUCGGAUUAGCUAGUUGGUGAGGUAAAGGCUCACCAAGGCGACGAUCCGUAGCGGGUCUGAGAGGAUGAUCCGCCACACUGGGACUGAGACACGGCCCAGACUCCUACGGGAGGCAGCAGUGGGGAAUUUUGGACAAUGGGCGCAAGCCUGAUCCAGCCAUGCCGCGUGAGUGAAGAAGGCCUUCGGGUUGUAAAGCUCUUUCGGUGGGGAAGAAAUUGCUUCGGUUAAUACCUGGAGUAGAUGACGGUACCCGCAUAAGAAGCACCGGCUAACUACGUG